GCCUUCGUGGUGUAAUUGGCAGCACACUCGACGCAUAAUCGAGAGGUCCAAAGUUCGACUCCUGCGAGGGCA
rnacentral:tRNA from 1 species